AUUGAACGCUGGCGGCAGGCCUAACACAUGCAAGUCGAACGAGUGGCGGACGGGUGAGUAAUGUAUGGGAAACUGCCUGAUGGAGGGGGAUAACUACUGGAAACGGUGGCUAAUACCGCAUACCAUCGGAUGAGCCCAUAUGGGAUUAGCUAGUAGGUGGGGUAAAGGCUCACCUAGGCGACGAUCCCUAGCUGGUCUGAGAGGAUGACCAGCCAAACUGGAACUGAGACACGGCCCAGACUCCUACGGGAGGCAGCAGUGGGGAAUAUUGCACAAUGGGCGAAAGCCUGAUGCAGCCAUGCCGCGUGUAUGAAGAAGGCCUUAGGGUUGUAAAGUACUUUCAGCGGGGAGGCGUUACCCGCAGAAGAAGCACCGGCUAACUCCGUGCCAGCCGCCGCGGUAAUAC
rnacentral:rRNA from 1 species